UACGGGGGGGGCAAGCGUUGUUCGGAAUUACUGGGCGUAAAGGGCUCGUAGGCGGCCAACUAAGUCGGAUGUGAAAUCCCCAGGCUCAACCUGGGAACUGCAUCCGAUACUGGAUGGCUUGAAUUCGGGAGAGGGAUGCAGAAUUCCAGGUGUAGCGGUGAAAUGCGUAGAUAUCUGGAGGAAUACCGGUGGCGAAGGCGGCAUCCUGGACCGACAUUGACGCUGAGGAGCGAAAGCUAGGGGAGCAAACGGG
rnacentral:rRNA from 1 species